rnacentral:rRNA from 1 species
UUGAACGCUGGCGGCAUGCCUUACACAUGCAAGUCGAACGGCAGCGCGGGAGCAAUCCUGGCGGCGAGUGGCGAACGGGUGAGUAAUACAUCGGAACGUGCCCAAUCGUGGGGGAUAACGCAGCGAAAGCUGUGCUAAUACCGCAUACGAUCUACGGAUGAAAGCAGGGGAUCGCAAGACCUUGCGCGAAUGGAGCGGCCGAUGGCAGAUUAGGUAGUUGGUGUGGUAAAGGCUCACCAAGCCUUCGAUCUGUAGCUGGUCUGAGAGGACGACCAGCCACACUGGGACUGAGACACGGCCCUGACUCCUACGGGAGGCAGCAGUGGGGAAUUUUGGACAAUGGGCGAAAGCCUGAUCCAGCCAUGCCGCGUGCAGGAUGAAGGCCUUCGGGUUGUAAACUGCUUUUGUACGGAACGAAACGGUCUUUUCUAAUAAAGAAGGCUAAUGACGGUACCGUAAGAAUAAGCACCGGCUAACUACGUG